UACGUAGGGUGCGAGCGUUGUCCGGAAUUAUUGGGCGUAAAGGGCUCGUAGGCGGUCUGUUGCGUCGGGAGUGAAAACUCAGGGCUUAACCCUGAGCCUGCUUCCGAUACGGGCAGACUAGAGGUAUGCAGGGGAGAACGGAAUUCCUGGUGUAGCGGUGAAAUGCGCAGAUAUCAGGAGGAACACCGGUGGCGAAGGCGGUUCUCUGGACAUUACCUGACGCUGAGGAGCGAAAGUGUGGGGAGCGAACAGG
rnacentral:rRNA from 1 species